UCGGACUCAACGCCGGGAAACUCACCAGAUAAGACAGCUGAAUGAUAGUCGGGCUGAAGACUCUACUUGACUAGCUGAGAGGAGGUGCAUGGCCGUCGUCAGUUCGUACUGUGAAGCAUCCUGUUAAGUCAGGCAACGAGCGAGACCCACGCCAACAGUUGCCAGCUCGUCCUCUGGGAUGGUGGGGACACUGUUGGGACCGCCUCUGCUAAAGAGGAGGAAGGAAUGGGCAACGGUAGGUCAGCAUGCCCCGAAUUAUCUGGGCUACACGCGGGCUACAAUGGGUGGGACAAUGGGUAUCGACACCGAAAGGUGAAGGCAAUCUCCUAAACCCAUCCGUAGUUCGGAUUGUGGGCUGCAACUCGCCCACAUGAAGCUGGAAUCUGUAGUAAUCGUGUCUCAAAAUGGCACGGUGAAUAUGUCCCUGCUCCUU
rnacentral:rRNA from 1 species